UCGGGAGGGAGAGAGUGGAGAGCGCGGGUGAGCGGUUUACCUCCCCUCCGGUGGGUAACUGGUACUCUCCAGAAAUUUCACAUAGGACCGAGUACAGCAGCAUACGAAAUUACGAAUGCGGGGAUCGUGAGGAAUUUAGGUUUUUUCCUGUCAAAUUCUCGCCCAUGAAUCUCGAACCAGAUCCGUUCUCAUUUUUCAGAGAUUAGUGUUGUUGAAAGACCAGUCUAACGAAUCGUUGAGGCUAGGAAGAUUGUGGCCAUUGAAAACAACUGCGGUUUUUAUGUAUUGCUCGGAAAUCAGAUUCAAAGUCAUUACAGAUAAACGAAAUAGAAUAAGCAGAACAGAAAAUUGAGGCAUGAGAAGGAAAAACAAUUUUGACUGUUUCUUUCCAAGAUUUUGUAAACCGUUAUUUAUUGGAGUCUUUUGUUUUAACAUUCUAGUAGAAUGGAGAGAUUACAGCUAAGUUGCAACAAAUGCACUUGCUUUACAGAAGAAUGCACUUGGAGUUGUGGUGGGGGAUAUGUUAGGAGACACGAUCUGUACGCCCAUUGCAAUGGUUGGAGUAUCAUGCUUUCUCAAGGUACAAAAUCGGGGAUCUAUUUUUCCGUGGAUUUUUGUUAAAUUUGUUGUUCUAUCCUCCACUGUAAUUUAGAUUUUGUGGGUUAUCAAUGAUAAGCAGUUCUAAAUCGGCCAUGAAGAAGGUGUUUGACUGUCAAUUCCCUCUGGCCGUCAUGGCAAAUCAGAUAUGCUUUUGAUUAAGGGUCUCCUUAUAUAAGGUGUUCUUUUGAUUAUUCUAGGCGUUCUUGGCAGAUGAGAUGAAAUAAAUUAAAACAAAUAUUCUUUUGAUUAAGGCCUCUCGGUAUCACGCUUGGGUGACACAAACUGCUCUCGAUGUGUUGCAAAUGGGUGGCUCCAAGAGAAUAUCCUUUCGACUCCAAAUGCACUGGAUCUAGAGUGAAUUAGUAUUCUCAAUUUUGAUGUACUUUUCGAAACCCCAAUUUGGAGAAUGUGGCAUUUCUCUGGAAGGAUAUUGACCCAAUUAUGGUGAUGCCUGCUCUAGGUCUGUGACAUUUUACUAUUUGAUUGGCAAAUUGAGGGACCAACAUAUCUAAGUAAUGCACGUAGAUGCAGAUGCAGAUUAAGGAAUACAAUUUUCAACGUCAUCACAUGCUAUAUUGAAGGCUCAAGUUCUCCCCUCAGAGAUUAUUACAGAUCACUCGUGAUGCACAUGGGCAUGUUCACGGGCCAAUUCUUUACAAUACACUGCCAGAUCUGUUUCUGUUAUCAUAAUUCACAUGGAGUCUCUGGUAGGUCAAACAAUUGAUGAUGGUUCUCGAAUCCCCUUCUAUAUUGAUACUCUUUCGCCUAAACUUCAUCKUAAUAGCGUGAAUCUCCAGCACUGCCAAUGCUUCUUCCAUGUUGAUUGAACACAAACUGACAUUCUUGCAAGCAUUGAACAGCACCUUACCUUCAUUCUCCCCUUCAACCACUCCUAUUGCUCAUCGACCAUUCUCUUUUCUGGACACAUCAAAAUUGAUCUUCAUCGUCUCUACUGGCGGGCUACCAAAUUACUUUCUCUUUAAUGCUUUAUGGACUUUUGAGUCAAGCUUAAUAAAUGAUCUGCUAGCAAACCUGUUCCCUCUUUCAUUGAAUGACAUUGUUUAUUUAUUAUUGGAGAUUGGGGCCUUAUUUGACUAGA